rnacentral:sRNA from 1 species
AUAAAUUCCCGCCAAAUUGUUUUUUCGUAACAAAUUUUUCCUAACCCAAAAUAAAUAUUUUAAAAAUCCUUGUAAAUAUUUUUUGGCGGCAAAUAGGAAUUUUAAAAGGGUUUUAAAAGAUUUACAAGAGAUUUUAAAAAGGUUUUAAAAGAUUUACAAGAGAUUUUAAAAGAGUAAAAAAUUUACAAGGGAUUUUUAAAGGGUUUUAAGAAAUUUACAAGUAAUUUUUAAAGGUUUUAAAACCCCUUGUAAAUCUUUCAAAAUACUUUUAAACCCUUUAAAAAUCUUUAUAAAUCCUUUGUAAAUUUUUUAAAUCCCUUUAAAAUCCCUUGUAAAUAUUGUAAAACCCUUUUACAAUCCCUUGUAAAUAUUUUAAAAUCCUUUUAAAACAAUUUUAAACCCUUUAAAAACAAUUUUAAACCCUUUAAAAAUCUUUAAAAGACCUUUGUAAAUCUUUUAAAUCCCUUUAAAAACUCUUGUAAAUCUUUUAAAACCCUUUUAAAAUCUCUUGUAAAUCUUUUAAAAACCUUUUAAAAUUCCAUGUAAGUCACCCAUUUAAAAUCCUUUGUAAAUAUUAUAAAACCCCUUUAAAAUCCCUUGUAAAUCUUUUAAAACUCUUUUAAAAUCCCUUGUAAAUCUGUUUCCCGCCAAAGAAAAAAAUUGGCAGGAAAAAUAUUUUUGAAAACAAAAUUUGGCGGGAAACUUUUUGGCGCGAAUUUUUUUUCGAAAAUUUUUGGCAGGAAAAUUUUGGCGGGAAUUUUUUGUCGAAAUUUUUUGGAAGGAAAAUUUUGGCGGAAAAUUUAUUUUGGAAUAUUUUAGGCAAAAAAAUAUUAAUAUUUCAUUUUGUUAACCUAAAAUAAUUUCCAAAUAAGGGUAAAAUGGUCAUUAAAAAUUUAAAGAGGGUAGAAAUAAAAAUGGAUAAAGCAAAAGGGUAGAGUUGAAAAGGGGCAUCAUGAAAAGGGCAUUAGAAAAAAAAAUUCUUCUUCUUUUGAAAAGCGUUCCAGUGUAUUAUCCACUAGACAAAACCGCAAACUUUUUUUUUUUCGAAAACCGCAAAUUUGUUAAAAAUAUUAUGAUUGGUAUCUGUAUUGUGGUUUUAAUAAAAAAAAUAAGAAAACGCCUUUUAUAAGUUUUCCAAUCACAGUCUAAGUAUGAUUGGUGAUAAUAAAGCGUUUUUCAAAUAAAUAUUGAAAUCCGUCCUACAAUCAUGUUUCCAUUUAAGACCUUAGCAUGUCUCUAUAGAUAAACGAAAGAAUCAGUUACAAAAAGUCCAUUUUUAAUAGUAUUUAUAAAUUUUUCAUUUUGCCUAAACUAUUUUAGAAUUACUGUUUUUUAUAUCUA